CCUACACGACCGUACCGCAAACCGACACUGGUGCGCGAGAUGAGUAUUCUAAGGCGCUUGAGAGAACUCGGGAGAAGGAACUCGGCAAAUUGACACCGUAACUUCGGAAGAAGGUGUGCCUUUAGUAGGUGAAGGGAUUUACUCCUGGAGCCCAAUGAGGUUGCAAAAAAUCGGUGGCUGCGACUGUUUAUUAAAAACACAGCACUCUGCAAACACGAAAGUGGACGUAUAGGGUGUGACGCCUGCCCGGUGCUGGAAGAUUAAAUGAUGGGGUGCAAGCUCUUGAUUGAAGUCCCAGUAAACGGCGGCCGUAACAAUAACGGUCCUAAGGUAGCGAAAUUCCUUGUCGGGUAAGUUCCGACCUGCACGAAUGGCGUAACGAUGGCCACACUGUCUCCUCCCGAGACUCAGCGAAGUUGAAAUGUUUGUGAUGAUGCAAUCUCCCCGCGGAAAGACGGAAAGACCCCAUGAACCUUUACUGUAGCUUUGUAUUGGACUUUGAACAGAUCUGUGUAGGAUAGGUGGGAGGCUUUGAAGCAGGGUCGCUAGAUCUUGUGGAGCCAACGUCGAAAUACCACCCUGGUGUGUUUGAGGUUCUAACCUAGGUCCAUUAUCUGGAUCGGGGACAGUGCAUGGUAGGCAGUUUGACUGGGGCGGUCUCCUCCCAAAGCGUAACGGAGGAGUUCGAAGGUACGCUAGGUACGGUCGGACAUCGUGCUAAUAGUGCAAUGGCAUAAGCGUGCUUAACUGCGAGACUGACAAGUCGAGCAGAUGCGAAAGCAGGACAUAGUGAUCCGGUGGUUCUGUAUGGAAGGGCCAUCGCUCAACGGAUAAAAGGUACUCUGGGGAUAACAGGCUGAUACCGCCCAAGAGUUCAUAUCGACGGCGGUGUUUGGCACCUCGAUGUCGGCUCAUCUCAUCCUGGGGCUGUAGCCGGUCCCAAGGGUAUGGCUGUUCGCCAUUUAAAGAGGUACGUGAGCUGGGUUUAAAACGUCGUGAGACAGUUUGGUCCCUAUCUUCCGUGGGCGCUGCAGAUUUGAGGAAGCCUGCUCCUAGUACGAGAGGACCGGAGUGGACGCACCUCUGGUGUAUCGGUUGUCACGCCAGUGGCAUUGCCGAGUAGCUAUGUGCGGAAGAGAUAACCGCUGAAAGCAUCUAAGCGGGAAACUCGUUUCAAGAUGAGAUCUGCCGGGGCCUUGAGCCCCCUAAAGAGUCGUUCAAGACCAGGACGUUGAUAGGUCAGGUGUGGAAGCGCAGUAAUGCGUUAAGCUAACUGAUACUAAUUGCUCGUGCGGCUUGACCCU
rnacentral:rRNA from 1 species